GCUACUGAAAUACUUAGGUGAGUGCACUGAUGAUUUAUGAGUGCACAGAAAAGUCAGAAUCUUUCAGUGUUUUGCUUUUCUAUGACUGAAUUUUAUAAAUUAGAUGAAUUAUCUGCUCUUGGCACUGGAUGGUGUUCCAUGGUUCCCUAGUUAGUGAGUAGCACUAUGAAAUGCAGCGUAAGUGCCUCUGCUAUUGUGAAGGAAGACAGACUUUUUUGUGAAGUCUAUAUAUCCACAUCAGAUUACUGCAUUCUUUCGGAAGCAAAAGAGGAGAGUGGGAAAUUAUUAAUUUUGGCUGGAGAGUACUUCAAUUUUUUUUUCAAUAUACACAAAGAUAAAUGUUCUGUAUUCUUUUGACCCUAUGCUGAAAAUCAGUUCUCUUGCUAAUUUUUAAAUGUGCAUGGCUUUAGUCAUUGUCUGGCACUGCCUGAAGACUUUAAUUCUUCUAAGGAGCAUAGUUGGAAUCCUUUUUAAUUAACUUAGGUUCAGAUCAUGGGCUAGAAGUAGCAGUGGAGAUGACUGAUACCCCAUCCCUGCGGAUUUGUUUUCUUGCCAUUUUCUUAUGAGCAAUUACAGCAGGGAAGAGUAUGUUUUGUGAUUCUGAGAUCUUAAUAUCUCCUGCUUACUUAGCUCCUUGUUUAACUUGGGUUACCUGAUCUUUUACUUCUUUUUAUUUAAGUUUCUGGCUCCUGGCACUAUCUUCAGGUCAAUAAAUCUAGUGAGGCAGGCUGUUGGACCUGAAAGUAUUAGUUUAUAUCAGAGACUCGAAACAGCAAUCUCACAUUAACUGCACAUCCUCUAAAUGAUGUUCUUUAUAAGAAUUUGAAGGUUACCGAAUGAUUGGUUCAUUUAGGUGUCUCAGUCCCAAUUACUGGUUUCUUUGACACAGCAGUAUGCUGCCUGUGUUGUAAGCAUCCUCUUGACGUGCAAAAAUUACAUAGAAAAAAAAUGUACGGUGAGUGAAUCAAUGGCAGCAAACAGAAUAUUGCUGUGAAAGUGGUGCCAAAGCUUGUAAAAUAGUUAAGUUCAUGAACAGAGAUGAUGCUGUGUUUGGCUACAGUGCUGAAGGAUGGGAGAUCUGAUUGAAGUCUCAUCUUUGCUCUGGUAUUGACACUGAAGACAGUCAGCUUAACCUGCUGACAGUAGAAUAGCCACACUCCCUCCAAUAUGAACUGGUAAAGGGCGCUUUGAAGAGCUCUAGCAAAGAAUGUUGUCAUCAGAGAAAACUUCAAUGAAGAUUUCUUCCCUGCUUAUUUCUUAUCUCUUCUCUAGCUGAAGAGAGUGUGUGCUGGAAGUCAUUUUAAAGCUAAAUCCCCCUGAAGAAUGCAUCCAGUGUUAUGACAAAGCACAGAAGCAAGGCCACAGCAGAAGUGAUGAAAAGCCAACUAAAAUCAAGCCAUCUCAUUUUGUUCUGUGGAAGGCGACUGGGGGAAUUCAUGACGGAAAAGGGACUCUAAGAGCUGUCAUGUAGAAGGAAAAAAGGACGGGUGGAAUUAGAAGCUCAGCAGAUUCUGAGUAAGUUAUUGGGAAAAUCUUAAAACUCAAGCUCAGUUUGAAGGUCAAUAUAGUGAUCACUGAAUAUUAAGCACUUUAACAGAAAACUAAUUCUUCUUGUUGAAGUACACUAGGGAUGAUAGAUAAUCCACUCUUUGUGAGCUCUAUAUACAUAAUGUCCAGUGCUUCAAAACUGACUCACUCUUCUAUCUUAGCUUUUAGCUCUGGCAUAAGAAAAUAUGGAGCGGUUCCCAUGCUUGUGGAUCCAAUACAUCUCUGCACAGAUGCUUUUUUGAUGUUUGCAGUCUUCAAUAUCCAAGGGAUUUGUUUUUCUUUUGAGAGGUUUAUGGUCCUGAUAUAGACUUGAAGAAAUACUCAAUAAUAGUGAAAAGAAAAACUUUAGCCCCUGUCCUCCAUGACUUUAAAUCAAUACUUGCUGUGAUUUCUGAAAUAAUCUAAAAUUUAUUAAAACCUAUCCAGAAGACCACUCUUUGUCGAUGUUAAAAGGCAAUUUUCUAUUUGUAUUCUGAUUUUUCAAGUGAACUGCUAAAGUGAACCUCUGACAAAAUGGAAGUAUCAGUACAGUGUCCAAGGCUAUGGAAGGCUGAAGACCAUCAGAGCUUCCUGUCAGAUCUGUGCAGUGCAGAGUCAGCAGAUUUGAUCCAAUGUAUUCGCUUUGUAAAUGUCCCUUUUUUUCUUUUCCACUCUAGAUCUAAUCUUGAAGCUUGCUGACCUAUAACUAAAGCAUGACCUGGAGAACAGAUUGUGCUUGAUUUCAGUGACUAAUCAAAGUUGUCAGCUAUACAGAUGUGAAGGUAUGCACGUGUCCUGUGGCUGUGAGAUGGACCAAGUUUAGUGAUGGUCAUCUGUUUACAUUUUCUACACAUUUUUUCCAGUUGUCUCCAUAUGUGAAAACCCUGAUUUAUGUAGACAAGUAUCUUUGUUCUUGAAGAGAUGAGUAUUUGCCACUGCACACACACAAAUGAAAUAGGAAGAAGAGCAACAUGUCAGUAUACAUUAUAUGCUGCCAGAGCAGGCAGUGAAUGAAUAUGUCCAGUUAAAACUUCAGAAGAAGCUUAAGAAGUUGAAAUGAAACCUUAGAAAUGUGAGAAUAAAUACUAACCAUGUUACAGUGGCAAAGUACAAAAUGCCUACUUCAGGUUCUAUGCAGAAGAGGGUCUGCUUUAUAAGACAUUUCCCCUUCUGCCUGUCAUGGGGUCAGUACUAGUUUGGAGGGAAGAUUCUACAUACGAGAUCAACAACAUUAUUUGUUGUGAGAAGAAUAAGCUUGAAUCCUGUGCUCAACUCAGAGCAGUCAUUUUUAUUUUUACUGGUUUACAUUUGAAACUUUCCCACGUGCAGCAUCCAAUUAUGGUAUAUUACAAAAACCUGUGUUUAAAUGGUAACAGUGCACAGUGCUUGAAAGUGACUGUUGUUAAAUUGCUUGUUCACUUUGAUGAUUAAGCCAGCAAUUAUCGCAUUAGCAUCCUAAGCCACACUUGUCUGCUGAUACAUCUCCUUCUAAGGCAAUCCCAUAAGACAUGAGAGGCUAAGUAGGGAGGGUCUAGCACUUGGAGAAGGGAAGAGCAAAGAACGUGUAAGAGAUAAGGCUAGGAAUUAAGAAGAGGUUGCUUUCUUCUGUUCUUCUGUGUCUGCUUCAGUGUGAUUCAGGAUAGUGCUGGGACCUGGUACAUCAAAAGAGAUGGGGUUUUUUUUUGUUUGUUUGUUUGUUUUCUUUCAUAAGGAGUGGAAGAAUAGACCUUUCACUACUGGCAGUCAAAGGUCCCAUGGAACCUCCUGCCAGGUCUUGUCACUGAUCUGAUGAGGAGCUACGAGAUAUGGUUUAGUGGCUUGUGGUAGCAAGGGUAAUGGGAGGACGGUUGGACUAGAUGAUCUUAUAAGUUUUUUCCUACCUUGAGAUUCUGUGAUUCUUACUUGCUCAGUAAUCAAAGCAAAUCAUUUUAUUUGGUCAAAGAAGGACGAACCUUCACCUUCUGUGCUGCUGCAGCCUUGAGCUGCUUGUACCUUACCAUUACUGUCUUAAAAUGCCUGGUAAAAUGCUACUGAAUGCCAUGUAACAGUCUUCCACCUCCAUUGUUCCUGAGGUAUAUCUGGUAUCUUCACACUAUGCUUCUGGACUGAACACUUUAUUGUCCUCCCAAAAUCAAAGUAUUAGAUAUUACUUCUUUGUGAAGGUUUGGGUUUAUAUGGUAAAAUUUCAGGAGAUAACUGGAAUAAUUGUUACUUGGGACAGCUUGCUUUCUGGAAGACAGAACAGCAUCAGGCCCCUCUCUGUAGGUGCUGUGUUAGUUUCUCAUCAGUUUCCCGAAACUGUGCACUUCCAGACCUGUUUCGGUGUCUAUUUCAACCUCAGAAAUGACAUUUUUUUUCUCCUCUCCUGGAGAGGAGAGAACUGGUCUUUUACUUUUACAUCCCAGUAAGAACCAGUAUUAUUUUCUUCUUAAGAAAAUAUUUUUCAUGGAAUUGAUGGCUUCUUGAAUUGUAUCAGUAUGGAUCAGAUUUUGAGACCACUCUACUGCAGUUGAAAUGUCAUCCUAGUGCUUAUGCAAAUAUAUAACAGCAUGAUGUUGGGUUUUGAGCAAGUAUCUAUAUAAAGUCUCCCAUAGAAAAAUGUCUUUCCUAUGUGGAGUCCACUGAAUUAGUACAGAAGAUGGGGGAAUCCUUCUGUAAAAAUGUGCUACAACAACUCUCCAGUUUCUUAAUAAGGGUUGUAGAAGACAAUCUAGUUCUAAAAUGUACAGGAAUAUGUGUGAACCUCAGUAGGUGAAAACACCCAAGCUGAUCACAAAAUGCAGUCUUCAGGAAUGGUGAAACAUCAUGAACCACAGAAAUUAACCUUGUCUAGGAGGAGUGGUACAUGAUUUCACCUGGGCAUGAUUUGAAACUGCAGGUUCUGAGGCAAAGAAAAUUGCUCUUCAGACAUACCUUGAUGAAACAGGUUGAAAACUGUCUUAGGUUGGAGUCCAGAGAAAAAACUGCCCUCUGCCCCCACUUUACAUGAAUAACUGUAGCACGUAGGUAAUUAGAGAAGGACAGCAGGAGGAGGGUGCUAAGGAGUUAUUAAGAAAGCUUUUGUCUUUGAGGCGCUGUCCUUACCUCCCUGUAUGUAUUCCCUGCAGUCUUUUCUUCACUCUCUACCUCCUUACUGCAGUUACUUUCUGUCUUUCCUAACAGCAUUAGGCCAUCGAUUGCUUUUUCUUUCCCUCAGUCCCCAGAUUACAUCCUAUUCAAGUGUGUAACCUUUUUCCUGAAAGACAGAUGAAGCUACUACUCCCUUUUUUCUGGAGUAGAGGCUAUGGGUGCAACAGCAGUGAGUUUCCUGUAUGAGGUGGGGAUUACUUGGUUGAUGCAUGGCCAAGCACAAGCAAACUGAAGAGGCAAUGAGUCAGGCAGUGCAGUCAAGUGGGUUUAAGCGUCAUCGUGAUGUGCAAACUAGCAGCAGUCCAGAGUGGAGUUCUUUUAGGGAACAGUCUCUGAUGCUAUGCUAGGGUAAGUGCCAGAAGGAACUUGCAGAGGGGUGCUGGUUUUAGGUAGAAAUUACACAGAAGAGCAGAGCCCAGGGAAACAAGAACCCAAAUAGGAAGUUGGCAAACAUCCAGCAUGGGUCAAAUAAACACUGCAAAGUCCUUGACAGAUGUUUCCAUCUUCCGAUUUUGUCUACCUGGUCCAGAAAACAGCAAUAGUGAAUAGAAAGAAUUCAGUUUCAAGACAACAAACUAAAAGAGAUAAAAAAUAUUUUUGUAGGAUAAAGGGUCCACCCUGGAACUCCCUUCCAUCCACUGGUCAAUCUUCUUUUAAAAGUCUCGAAACAAUUCAGCUUCCAUUAUUUCUCCUGUGGGAACCGUGCCCAUUCUAACCAAUCUCACUGCCUGCAAGCUUCUCCGGGUGUAGGUUAUGCUUAAGCUUCUCAUUUAACCAUCCCAAAGAACCUUUCUUCUUCCUGCUCACUCUACAUCCUUCUAACAUGUAGAAGCAGUUUGGGUCUUAUUUCCUUUCAUCAUUGCAUGACUAAACACACUACUAUGUGGUAAAAAAAAAAAAAAAAGCCCUUAAUUCUGUUCUCUGCCACUUAGUUUUAUUCUUCCUUUCUGAUAUUUUUUCAAACUCUUGUUUUUGCAGGAGAAAACACAGGAUAUCACACUUUGUGAUAGGAUGUAGUUAAAAUCCACUGCUGCAUGCGAACUCAUUCUUCUGGAAGGAAUCGAGUUCCUUCAAUCUCCUAUUAAACUAUUCUCAGCUCUACCUGUAAGGCAAUCAGUCUUGCAGGUGUUGACCUUAAAAAUAAGCUCAGCAUCCUUUUGUCAGAUGGAAAUUAUGAAUCUUCUCAAAAUGAGGUGCUGUUACUGAUCUUUUUUUCCACAAAGCUCACUUAAAAUUACCUAAAUUUCAGUUCAGAUUUUUUCUCACUUUUGCUAUCUACCAACUGUCAGCCAGAUCAGCAUCUAAACAGAUACCAAAACACUGCUUAUCAACUAAUCACAUCACUGUGAAAGACAAAAUAACCUUCCAUGUUCUAAUUAUUUUAUAAUGCCUUUGAUUAUUAUUUUUUCGGUGUGCAAAACACAGUGUAACUCCCCCGUGCCUACUGUUGGAGAAAGUGCAAUGCUAAAAGUCAGCUCUGCAAAUUUACAAAAACAAAUAAGCAAAGGUAGCCCAUUUAAAUGCUACACUACUGACAGUUACUUAAAAUGCUCCCACUUGAAUCUGCUGCAUCAGUGUGAGUUUUAGAAGGCAAAGUCCAUACCCCUGACUAUGAGCUCUUCUUGAAUAUAAGAACAAUUUAAAUGCCUUCUUAAAGUCAGAACCAGGGCAAUGAGUGACUGGAACAGAUUGCCCAAAAGAGUUGUGGAUGCGCUGGAGUUAUUCAAGUUCAGGCUGGAUAGAGCCCUGGGCAGCCUGAUCUGGUGGAAGGCAGCUCUCCCCACAUCAGGGCAUUGGAACUGGAUGGUCUUUAAGGUCCUUUCCAGCCAAAACUGUCCUGUGAUUUUAUAAUUCUAUGAAGAACUCAAGCACAAAAAUCCCUCUCAAGGCUGGAAUUAGCAGUCUCACUCCCCGCAUGGGGAGAAGCGUGGGAUGAGUGCUUUUUAAAUGAGUGCUGCAACUUCAAUGUAUAGUGUCUCCUUCUUAUUACCUUGUGCUGAGAAACAAAUUCAAAACGUGGAGAGCAAAACACUUUUGUUCACAAGGUGUGGUGUUGGACUGGGGCCUUCCCAGUCUGGGGUAGGCAUUGAAAUCUGUCUCCCCUAUUUCAUGGGGAAUGCUUCAACCACUCUAGUAUGAUAGCCAAGACCCCAGUAAUGUCAUCAUCUUUGUGAAUGACUCUAAAAGGAACACAGUGUAUUUUCAGACUUUUCAAAGAGCAGUUUUAAGUAUAUUCUCAGUUGAGGGCUCUAAGUUCUAGGUUAAAACAGGUAGAGGUUAUUUUGUUCAUCCUAAAUAAGAUGCCAGAUUUGCUGCAGAGAGAGAGGACUGUGAAAGCAUGUGUGUGCCUGCCAUUUUGUGUUGUCUCUCCACAGAUCAUUCUCAGCAUGUGAGAUUUUCAGAUAAGCACUUUGAGGUGUUUAAUUCUUAGCAGGAAGUGCAUAGGGAGCCUUCAUGUUGAACUCUGGAGUUUUAUUCUGCUCUGAAGACCAAAAUCCUAAAAGGAAACUAUUAAAAAAGAAGGUUUUCUUACUGGGUUUAGUCACAACCUACAAGUCUCUUCUGCUGUUCUGUUACAGAAAGUUGCAGUUGCAGCAAAAAAAGUGCUGCAAGAAACAUUCUUCAUAAACAGGUUUUAUAUAAUUACAGCCAUUCUGCACACUAAGUAUAUUAUCUACCUUUUAGAAACCUUGUUAGAAUAAUGCACAAGCUCUUAUAGAAAAAUCUCUUUACCAGUCCUCCGUGGAAAGCACCCUUCCUGCUGAUUUUGUAGAAUUAGUUUCUCCUUGCCUGGUAUUUAAAUUGUGUAGCAGUCAAUUUGCCAUACAGUGUUCCUCAGCACUGAUAUACAGCAUUUCCACUGGCGAUGACAGUGUAUUUAUUAAUAGAUGUUUUUUGCUUACUUCAUCAAGGUUAUGCCUCUUACUUUUAAUAUGCAUUUGAAAUACAUCUUCUAACAUCCUUAAAAAAUAAUAAAAAAUAACAUCAAUGCAAAAAAAAAAAGAAAAAGAAAAAGAAAAAAAGCCCAACCUGAUCAAAGGUCUUAUGCUUUCAAAUGAAAAAUACCACUCAGCCUGCCUUUCAGAUCAUUUAGAAUAUAUCCCAAGUUUUCAGUAUUGCUCUACCUCCUUCCGCCUUCUGUAUCCUAGCUGUAAAUGGAUUUAAAAAAUAAAGUCUUAAACCUUUGUAAGGUUGUUUCAAGUACAUGCAGUUUGCCAAGAACUCUGACAGGAACAGUCUUUCAUGUAUAUAGCUCCAAUUCCUUCUUCUGCAUUUAAUGAAGACUAUUGGUGCUCUCUACGGCAAUGUAGUACUUCCCUUCUGUAUUUUGUUUGGGUCUGCAUCUCUCCAUGGCUACUGUGAAGCACUGUCCCAUCACGUUAACUGGGUGAGACGUAAGCAGCUUUCUAGAUUCAGUUAUAGUUGCAGUCCCUUUAUCCAGGAUACUGCAUUACUAGAAGGUAAGUUCUGAAUUGCCUUUAGCCAACAUACUUCAGACCAUUUGCACAGUCUCCUUCUCAGGCCUCCUUUUAAAUAACUAUUAAGGGAAACACCAGGGGUUGAACUUUCAUGGUUACGGUUUUGUUGUAGGUGGACUAGGGCAAGAGAGAUGCCUUCAAAAAACACUCCAAAUAUUUUUCUUGAUGGUCUGACCAGCUGCAAGCAAGAGGUGUGCUCACUGUGACAUGUGAGCACCUGAAAAAUUAAAGCUAACUGCCUGGCAGAUUAGGUCUUCAAGUUCUGCACUUGUAAUUUAGUUGAACCCAACCCAGUGUUUGGAUUUUCACACAGUCAUAAUACAUAUACAUAUAUACUUGCACUGAUCCAGAGGUGUUAGAAGGGCUGUUUUGGUUGUGUACUACUUAUUUGAAUUGCAAGAGCAUUAAUCAUUUUAUCUGGAGAGAAACCUGCCUAAAUAAAUGGAGAUUUUAAAGUAUGUGCCUAUCGUAUUCAACAUGCAUCAGGUUUGCUAAGGCUGACAGUCAUUUCUUUUCUAGUCUGUCACAAAGAUCUAUUUAGAAAUUCAGCUCUGGAAUUAAAAUGAAAGGCCACUACUGAUUGCUCGCUUUUAUUCUGCAGAUAAAUUAAGUUCUGUUAUUAGAGAUGACCUAUGAAAAUAACACAUGAUCAUUCAUAUAUUUU
rnacentral:lncRNA from 1 species